UUGUUACUCAUUCCACCACGGGAGGCGAACGAAUGGCAGCCGACGAUGGAGAUCCGUUCGAGCAGGGGAAGCUCGCACGCUUCAACAAUGAGCCGCACGACAAUCCCUAUCCGGAAAACACCGAGCAGCACGAGCGCUGGGAGGCGGGCUACAGGUUUGUAGAGCAGGGUUUGAUGUCAGUCUGACCCUUUGCGUCGAAACGAAAAACGGCCGCCUUUGAGGGCGGCCGUUUUGCUUGAGGCGUUGUCCGACGUCAGUUGACGUCCAUCUUGAGGCCUUCCUUGUUGAUGAUGCCCGCGAACUUCUUGAUCUCGGCUUCGACGAAGGCGGUGUAUUGUUCCGGCGUUCC
rnacentral:misc_RNA from 1 species